rnacentral:rRNA from 1 species
AGUUAACGUUGGCGGCGUGCCUAACACAUGCAAGUCGAACGCGCCGUAGCAAUACGGUGAGUGGCGAACGGGUGAGUAACACGUGGGUAAUCUUCCUUCAAGUGGGGAAUAAGCUCUCGAAAGGGAGUCUAAUACCGCAUGACGUUCCGGGACAUAAGUCCCGUAAUUAAAGCCGCAAGGCGCUUGAAGAUGAGCCUGCGUCCUAUUAGCUAGUUGGUAGGGUAACGGCCUACCAAGGCAACGAUGGGUAGCCGGCUUGAGAGAGUGGUCGGCCACACUGGGACUGAGAUACGGCCCAGACUCCUACGGGAGGCAG